rnacentral:rRNA from 1 species
UUAAAGGAAUUGACGGGGCCGCGCAAGCGGUGGAGCAUGUGGUUAAUUCGAAGCAACGCGAAGAACCUUACCAGGUCUUGACAUCCCGAUGCUAUUUCUAGAGAUAGAAAGUUACUUCGGUACAUCGGUGACAGGUGGUGCAUGGUUGUCGUCAGCUCGUGUCGUGAGAUGUUGGGUUAAGUCCCGCAACGAGCGCAACCCCUAUUGUUAGUUGCCAUCAUUCAGUUGGGCACUCUAGCGAGACUGCCGGUAAUAAACCGGAGGAAGUGGGGAUGACGUCAAAUCAUCAUGCCCCUUAUGACCUGGGCUACACACGUGCUACAAUGGUUGGUACAACGAGUUGCGAGUCGGUGACGGCGAGCUAAUCUCUUAAAGCCAAUCUCAGUUCGGAUUGUAGGCUGCAACUCGCCUACAUGAAGUCGGAAUCGCUAGUAAUCGCGGAUCAGCACGCCGCGGUGAAUACGUUCCCGGGCCUU